rnacentral:rRNA from 1 species
UAGUCCACGCCGUAAACGAUGGACACUAGCUGUUGGGAUUAAUCUCAGCGGCUAAGCGAAAGUGAUAAGUGUCCCACCUGGGGAGUACGAUCGCAAGAUUGAAACUCAAAGGAAUUGACGGGGGCCCGCACAAGCGGUGGAGCAUGUGGUUUAAUUCGAUGAUACGCGAGGAACCUUACCAGGGCUUAAAUGUAAUAUGACAGGACUAGAGAUAGUUUUUUCUUCGGACAUAUUACAAGGUGCUGCAUGGUUGUCGUCAGCUCGUGCCGUGAGGUGUCAGGUUAAGUCCUAUAACGAGCGCAACCCUUGCCGUUAGUUGCCAGCAUUUAGUUGGGCACUCUAAUGAGACUGCCGGUGAUAAACCGGAGGAAGGCGGGGAUGACGUCAAGUCCUCAUGGCCCUUAUGGGGUGGGCUACACACGUGCUACAAUGGCGUAUACAGUGGGUUGCUAGCCAGCGAUGGUGAGCUAAUCUCUAAAAAUACGUCUCAGUUCGGAUUGUA